UCACAAGGGAUUCACCUUGAAGCUCUUAAUUCAACUAAUUUAGCUCAAGUGCUUGCAUUUACUGUAAUAGAAACUGCGUGACGGGGCUUAGAGUUAAAAUUGUACCUGUUUUGGCCUAUACAAAGAAGGACAUUUGCAGGGAAAAAAAAAUAAAAAUGUACUGGAUUCUUAGUAAGCACUACCUAAAUAAAGACUGCACUUUCGUGGCACGGGGCUUCUUUUGUAGGAGGAAGAUGCAAAUGCCACUCUGUGCAGUCAUUGUAUAUGAUGUCAAACAGCCUGCUAAAUAUAGCAGGCUGUGUUAUGGAAAGGGAACUGCAAAACUUUCAUGUGUCUCGAGAUUUUAACCCUUUCUGAUGCCUUUCAGUCUGUUUUAGGAUUGGUGGAACUUAACCGAAGUGUAUGCCUUGGUGAAUUUAUGGGUGUAAUAUCUAAUACACAUUCAGGUGGAAACACGUGGAUUUAAUAAGGUUUGUGCAUUCAAAUUUAAGACCAGACCUCAAAGCUGCAAAACGAAACACAUGACUGUCAGCAGUCACGGCUGCUCAAUCAGUGUCUGAAUAAGACUAAGCAUCAAGCCCGCCCAGGAUCUGAGUGGCAUGAAUCCCUGUGGUUUUAAGGUAUUUCAACUCUGGAAUUACAGGAAAAUUGAUGUUUUGCUUCUCUUGAACUGCCUUCAAAGCUGGACAUUUGUUUCAUUUGAAAAUCCCCUUCCUGCUCCUUGUUUCUCAUCUUGAAUGCCUAUUUUAUUUUAUUUUAUUUUUAGUCUUUUAUGUCACUUUUUCAGGCAGUUUUCAAUAUGAGGUAGACUCUUCCACAGCAGUGUUGUGGCGGGGUGAAUAUUUUCACAGGUGUAAAGGAACAGAGAGAUUGCUGUAGUUGGCUAACUGGCAAGAUUGAGAACGAUUUGCUCCUGUGGGAAAAGUGCUCUGGGUGACCAAAAUCAGAUCCUUGCUCUCCUAAUGAAAGUGACAGCACUCAGGAUCAAGUCAAGUCCUUUGGAAGAGGCCAAAUGUCUUCAUUAAAUUCUGAAGGAGUCCAGCACGGGCAGCACCCUAACUUGUUCCUCAGGAGAGGUGCAGGGAAUAAGUUAUCUGAAGCCUUAGAGAGACAAGUUAGAGGAAAUGUGUACUUCUCUCCUGCCAGCCCCAGAAUCAUAACCCCAGAUCUUAAAGUUGGUUGCAGAUUGAUCGCCAAGGUUAAUGCACGCAGCAGGAGCUGCCGAGUGCUGGGACUGCUUCAGUGGGAGACACUGCGAUGGACCCGCUCCUCCCAUCAUCACAAAGAGCUGGAAGAGAAAUGGAAAUGAAUAUUCCGUAUUUGGCAGAAUCCAAGGUUGCUGUGAAGCUGUGUCAGUCCCGUACCUUUUCAGAACCAUUUUCAGAACCCUUUAUUGAGUUGUUUUUAAAUUUCAUCUAUAAGGGAUAUGGUCAUCAAGUCCUGGGACCAGGACCCCAAAGAAAGCUGUGUUCCUUGAGUUAAACCUACCCGAUUACCUGAGACAUGCAGCUAGCGUGUUAUUCCCCAGCCUGUUCUCUGCUGCCCGUGGUGGGAAAUGAGCCCCUACAGAAGGAAGAUUAUUUCCCAGAAGAGAGGAUGCCCAGAAGAACCUCAUCAGCUAAUUCCUGCCUGUCUCCUUUGAGUUAAUUUAUUUGUGAUAACCCCAUCAAUCUACUGGGUAUAUAAAUCAACUGUGUAGCUCAGCAGCUGCUUGAUAAAUGAGUGCCCAGCUGCUGACACACUGCCUCUGCUACAUACAGGGUCCUGGCUUCCAGCGAGCUUUGAAGUGGCAAACAAAAGUGUUUAGUAUUGACCUAUGAAUCCUAAAGGGGUGAAGACCGUUCUCCUUGACACUCUCCCAGCAUCACAGUGUCCUGGAAGGAUGGCAGAUAUUACCCCUGUGACAGAAAAGCGAGGCUCUCUGCCCUUCACAACAUAAGCCUGGUGCAAAAACCCCAGCAACAAGACUGGGGGAAUACCUGAUGCUGUUGGGGCAAGGCAAGGGUGCAUUUUUGGCUGUGCCGCUCCGAGCUGUGCAGAGCUCUGUGUGCUCCAGCAGUCAGCGGUGCUGGCGAGGUACCAAAGCUCCUGGUGUGUUUAGUUCGGUCGUGUCGCUGCAGUUCAACUAACCACGGAGAAGGCUGCUGGCUUUAAUUUCCCUCUGGUGUUUGCGUGGGCCUGGAAACACUAGCUCUGCUGUCAAUGUGAGGUUUUAUUAGCUGAAGCUGAAGUUUUUUACCUUAUUUUUCUAAUAGAAAACUGGUUGUAUUGGUUAUAUUGAUGAUAUUACAUAUGCAAAUAUAUUUGAUGUCAGAGGAUAAAUGUCUCCAUUCUUUGGAAAUACACCCAUGCAGCCUUGCUGCUGUGUAAGCUCUGACUUAUUUUAGGGACCCUUGACGGUCCUCAAAAAAUUUCUUGUUUUGUGCAAUAAUGUAAUUUCUUAAUAUGCUGUGCUGCUAGUUUUUCCUCAUUCCCCAUCCGUACUGGCAACACACUUCUGCUUUUCAUCACCAAAUUUCUAAUGCAUGCUGUGAUGCUGACCAGUUUAUUUAAUGGCUCUGCCUGUUGCUCAAACCUGUAAAAUUGAUGUUUCAAUUGUUACUUAAUACAAAAAUUAACAGAGCUCUGGGCAGGCAGGCUGAGAGUAUCAGAGGAAAGGUUUUGUGUAAUUAUGUAUUUAUGUAAUUAUGUAUUGUUAAAUUUUGUCAGAUUAAGGGUGUCCCUGUGGGUAAGCACAUGAUGCCGUAUCCCCAAAUGGGCGAUUGAUGAAGAUACUACUACAUAGAAGAUACUACUACAUAGAGACCCUGGAUUCUGUCUCGUGUGGGAAGGGAAGAGUGAGAGAAAGCCCAGACUUGCCCACUCGCACCCUUUUUGUACGUGCGAGCUGCAUAUUACUGCUUUUGUUUCAAAUGAAUAAAAUUUGUAAACUUAAUGGAACCAUGAACAGAACUGCAAAGUAACUUCCAAAAAAAUCUUGGCCUCAAGUUUUAACUGAACAGAUUUUGUUCAUUCUUAUUCCUCUUUUGUGUUAGUUGAAUUAAAGAAAAAUAACUCUUCUUGGAACGCAAAGUGAAAGCUGUAAUGUUACAUACGCAAAAGCUGUGCAAGUUGGGCAGGAAAAUAAUGUUCCUGAGUAUUUGCAGUGGUUGUGCUUGCUCAGAAAGGAAGCUGACACAACACUGUUUCCCUUUUCUAACCGUUCUCCGCUCAAACUCAGCUAUUAAACAUAGUACAGGUCAUCGAUCACAGGCAACACACUGAAAGCAUUGAAACAGCCUUCAGACAGGUUUACUGAAUGGUUUUGUAUAACAGAUAGAUCCUAGGAAGUAGUCAUCUGCUGAUGUUUAUUCCCCCAAAGAAGCUACGGGCUGCGUCAUUACGUGACAUUUACUGUCCUAAGCUUUACUGCACCUCACACCACGGCUCUCUGCUGUAACCUCUUGUGCUAACUUCCACAGUUCGUUUUCCUCUUUGGCUCUUCAUUGUGUGGUUACCAAAAUGUCAUGGCUAUGAACCACGACAACAGUGAUUUUCAGUGUUGGGUUUGUCCAGACUUGUGUAUUUUCCUACCCAACAACAAAGAUUACAGUAUUAAAGCAGCAGUGAUCUUCUGCUCUUCAGGUUUUCUUGCAAACAUAGCAAAGAAAACAAAUUACCAGGAGAAAUCACAGCUAGCUUUUGACUGGUUCAGGCUGACUUUUACCAGUCUCCAGUCUUAUUAGAUGUCAACUGGAGAUUUUUUUGCACAAGUUUAAGAAUUUCUCUCCAAUUUGAUCGUGCAAAAGAUUACGAGCAAUGAAAGUAUUAUUUAGUGGGAGAAACGUCAUACUGUCCCUUGGAACUGAAUCUCAUCUGCAAUUGUGUGACUUCUGGAUGUGUCUCAGGGAAUUAAAACUUUGUAAUUUAAAUUAGAAGAAUUGUUUUUAAGUAACUGGAAAGGAUAAGUAUUAUUUAUUUUAUUGAGGCCCCAGGCUCAACAGAGUUACAAACUUUUCCAGUUAUAAUGAUGAAUAAAGAUAUUAAAGGCUC